AUACGUAGGGUGCAAGCGUUAAUCGGAAUUACUGGGCGUAAAGCGUGCGCAGGCGGUUUUGUAAGACAGAGGUGAAAUCCCCGGGCUCAACCUGGGAACUGCCUUUGUGACUGCAAGGCUAGAGUACGGCAGAGGGGGAUGGAAUCCCGCGUGUAGCAGUGAAAAGCGUAGAUAUGCGGAGGAACACCGAUUGCGAAGGCAAUCCCCUGGGCCUGUACUGACGCUCAUGCACGAAAGCGUGGGGAGCAAACAAGAUUAGAUACCCUGGUAGUCCACGCCCUAAACGAUGUCAUCUGGUUGUUGGGUCUUCAUUGACUCAGUAACGAAGCUAACGCGUGAAGUUGACCGCCUGGGGAGUACGGCCGCAAGGUUGAAACUCAAAUGAAUUGGCGGGG
rnacentral:rRNA from 1 species